GCUGCCUGGAACAGAAGAGCAGAGGAUCAGAGGCACCACCAGAGACUCUCAGAGUGGGUUAUUACCCUGGUGGGGGCGCCUGCUGCGGCGUAGGAGAUGGCGGGACUGGGGGCGCGGGUGUGAAGCCCCCAAGAAAUCUGUGUGAAUUUCCUGGGGAGGUAAGGUCUCCAGGCGCUCUCUCUGGGCCCGGGGAUUGGUCCGGGAAGGUCUCCUGGCGCCUACCCAGCCCCCACUGCCUGGACGCCUGCGCCUGCUCUGCCGCCCCACAGCGACCGCGAAGGCCAGCUUCUUCGAAAGGCCCAUUUUUCUCCGUGGCUGAGCGAAUGCUCCUAGAAUACCACGUUUAUAAUAAAUCAUGUAGGGUGGAAUUCCUGCUGGAUGUAUACACCUUUCUGCAUCAGAGCUCUUCAAACCCAGAAUGGUGAAUAGCUACCCCUGGGCUUACCCUUUUAUAAUUUUCAACAAACCUGCGUUUAGCCCCGGCUAGGUGCCAGCAAGUUGCUAGGGACUGAGGAGGCUCUGCAGAGGACCCGAGCUGAGGCCCUAAUCCUCAAGGCCAAUGGCAGGGGUCACCGCCCAGGCACCCCCAGAGAACGCGGUGUGAAGGAAAAGACACCAAACUCGGUGUUCAAAUGUGUGGGAUCUAUUCUAGUUCUGAUUCUGACACUUGCAAGUCAUGCAUCCUCCGAGCCUCGGCUUUCUCACCUAUAAAAUCUUCAACGUGACCUAUAAAAAUCCAUAAAAUCACCCCUGCUUCAUUGUUUCCCAGGGCUCAUAGAAACAUCAUACAAGGUAAGGGAAGGUGAGUGCACUGUAAAAAAUGGUGACGUGCUAUAUAGCUCUGAGUAGUAUGGUAUAUAAGCUUCCUUUUUAAAAAUUUUAAUUUUAGGGCCAGUGUUGGGAUUACGGGUGUGAGUUACCGCACCCGGCCUCUUUUGUUGUUUUCUAAUAAGUAUAUAUGACUAUCAUUUCCCUCAAAAGUCUGCUUUAGCUGAAUAUCACAAGUUUUAAUAUGCUAUGCUUUUGUUAUCACUUAGUUAUACAUAUUUGGAUUUUGUUGUUGUUGUUGUUACAGAGUCUCGCUCUGUCGUCCAGGCUGGACUGCAGUGGCAAGAUCUCAGCUCACUGCAACCUCCACUUCCCGGGUUCAAGAGAUUUUCCUGCCUCAACCUCCUGAGUAGCUGGGAUUACAGGUGCACGCCACCACACCCGGCUAAUUUUUUAAUUUUUAGUAGAGAUGGGGUUUUACCAUUUUGGCCAGGCUGGUCUCCAACUCCUGACCUCAAGUGAUCCACCGGCCUCAGCCUCCCAAAGUGUCGGGAUUACAGGCGUCAGCCACUGUGCCUGGCCAAUAUUUUGUUUUUUAUGUUAGGAUUGUAUGCUUAAUUCAUGGAUUAUUUAGACGUAUAUUUUCCAUUCUUUUUUUGUUUUC
rnacentral:lncRNA from 1 species